rnacentral:rRNA from 1 species
GACGAACGCUGGCGGCGUGCUUAACUCAUGCAAGUCGAACGGAAAGGCCCUGCUUUUGUGGGGUGCUCGAGUGGCGAACGGGUGAGUAACACGUGAGUAACCUGCCCUUGACUUUGGGAUAACUUCAGGAAACUGGGGCUAAUACCGGAUAGGAGCUCCUGCUGCAUGGUGGGGGUUGGAAAGUUUCGGCGGUUGGGGAUGGACUCGCGGCUUAUCAGCUUGUUGGUGGGGUAGUGGCUUACCAAGGCUUUGACGGGUAGCCGGCCUGAGAGGGUGACCGGCCACAUUGGGACUGAGAUACGGACCAGACUCCUACGGGAGGCAGCGGUGGGGAAUAUUGCACAAUGGGCGGAAGCCUGAUGCAGCGACGCCGCGUGCGGGAUGACGGCCUUCGGGUUGUAAACCGCUUUCGCCUGUGACGAAGCGUGAGUGACGGUAAUGGGUAAAGAAGCACCGGCUAACUACGUG